AUUGAACGCUGGCGGCAGGCUUAACACAUGCAAGUCGAGCGAGCGGCGGACGGGUGAGUAAUGUCUGGGAAACUGCCUGAUGGAGGGGGAUAACUACUGGAAACGGUAGCUAAUACCGCAUACCAUCAGAUGUGCCCAGAUGGGAUUAGCUAGUAGGUGGGGUAAUGGCUCACCUAGGCGACGAUCCCUAGCUGGUCUGAGAGGAUGACCACCCCCCCUGGAACUGAGACACGGUCCAGGCUCCAUCCAAAACAACCAUUUCUAAAUAUUCCACAAUGAUCGCAAGCCUGAUACAGCCAUGCCGCGUGUGUGAAGAAUUCGUUCGGGUUUUAACGCACUUUCAGCGAGGAGGCGUUACUCGCAGAAGAAGCACCGGCUAACUACGUGCCAGCAGCCGCGGUAAUAC
rnacentral:rRNA from 1 species